UGUCUUGCCCCUCCAAAAACUCAAUACUUAAAUCUAGCAGUUGGAAGGAGGCAGCUGGGCACUAUUUGGCUGUGAAUACCCUGGUGAUUCUACCAUAGCCAUCAAUGUGCCUGGCCACAUGAUGCUAAACCACUGCUGACACACAUGAUUUCAUGUAAGAGCUUGAGACAACAGCUGUGCAAUUACUUUGAACUACCAAGAGUUUAGUUUCUAGGCAAUGUCAUUAUUUCUCUUUAGUCUUUGAAGCCCUGUUUCACAUUUCAAGUGAGAGCUGAGGUGGGGAUAUCUGUCUGGUAUAGGGUGCAACACCAUUCUUAAACACACUCCCAUGUGCCUUCCCAUGUUCUCUAAAGGGUCACUGAGAGGACUCAUUAGACAUCACGACAAACAAAAUCAAAAGUAUCGCACUCACAGCAAGACUCUAAAACAUGAGACAUCUUUUUCUUUCAGCUUGCAUGAACAAUAAGAAUAUGGUACAAUCAAAAAGGAGGUUCGCAUAGACAGCAGCUGGGCGCUGACUGCUUACCUCUGGUCCAAAGGCAUGACUCAGCAAGCAGGGGGAUGUAACCACAGUGGUGAUGCCAGCUGGUAUCAGUGGGCAGACAAUACUCUGUGCGUUCUGCAGGACUGGUGAGACAGGAUCAGGUUUUCUUAAGAACAGCAAAAGGAUCUUCUGCUUUCUCUGCACCUACAGAGUUUUUUUUGUCCAUUUUCAUUACGGCCAGAAAACAUCUAAAUCUCAUUUUAAAUAACCUGAAGUGCUUUUCAGAAAUUAACAGUUUCUUAUACUGGUGCACAUACAAUGCAUUUCCAGCUCCACAUCCUUAGACUUCUGCACAAACAAUUCAAGACAGGGUCUAGACUUUAACAGCACAUUUUCAAAGUUUUAUAUGUAUAAAUGCCUUCAUUCCGUUGAGUUUCAGCAGGAGAUACUUUAUAGCCUGGGGCAAAUAACUGCUUAGAGAAAUUUUACUAUCCAAAGUGGAACUGAAGCUUAUUGUUACAAACAGUCAUAUAAUUAGCUUAAAAGGGACAUAAAUCUUCACAAAGUCAAGUUCCUUCCUGCUCUGAACACACAUUUUCAGCAGGGGAAAGUCCGUUUUGCUAGAGCUUGAAGCUGAAAAAUAAGCUUAAAAUAGCAAGUAAGACCAAGAAGCUAAUAAGAAAUAGUUAUAAAAUCAUUUACCCUGUAACUACAAUUGCCUGCAUUGAAAUUACCUCCACAGCCAUGUCUGCCAGGGAGCAAGAAAUGGGUCGGAGAGGCUGGCAGGGAAGAAGGGGGGAACUACAUGGCCCCAUUGCCAGUGGUUUCAUAAUUAUAAGAGGAAGAAAAAGCAAUUCAGCAGUUGGAAGAGCUCUGGGUUGAAGGAGAAGGGGCCCAGCUCCUGCUUUGAUCUUUAUGCCAGGUGUGCCAGGCAAGAUCCAACAAGGACUUUGACAGCUCACUGAAGUGAAAUUCAAGCACUUACAUCCCAAGCUGACAUCCUGCACUUUCUCAUGCUUCCAUCUGAGCUCUGUAGACAUAUCUGAUCUCAACCUUUUCAUG
rnacentral:lncRNA from 1 species